rnacentral:rRNA from 1 species
UUGAACUGAAGAGUUUGAUCCUGGCUCAGAUUGAACGCUGGCGGCAUGCCUUACACAUGCAAGUCGAACGGCAGCACGGACUUCGGUC